CCCUUAGAUGUCCUGGGCCGCACGCGCGCUACACUGAUGCAUGCAACGAGUUUAUAACCUUGGCCUGAAAGGUCUGGGUAAUCUUUUGAACGUGCAUCGUGAUAGGGAUAGAUUAUUGCAAUUGUUAAUCUUGAACGAGGAAUUCCUAGUAAACGCGAGUCAUCAGCUCGCAUUGAUUACGUCCCUGCCCUUUGUACACACCGCCCGUCGCACCUACCGAUUGAAUGGUUCGGUGAAGAUCUCGGACUUCGAUAUUUAUUCUUUAUUGAGUUUAUAUUGUGGGAAGUUAUCUAAACCUCAUCAUUUAGUGGAAGGUGAAGUCGUAACA
rnacentral:rRNA from 1 species